UUCCCUCAGGAUAGCUGGAGCUC
rnacentral:snRNA from 1 species